UACAGAGGGGGCAAGCGUUGUUCGGAAUUACUGGGCGUAAAGGGCGCGUAGGCGGCCUGCUAAGUCGAACGUGAAAUCCCCGGGCUCAACCCGGGAACUGCGUCCGAUACUGGCAGGCUUGAAUCCGGGAGAGGGAUGCGGAAUUCCAGGUGUAGCGGUGAAAUGCGUAGAUAUCUGGAGGAACACCGGUGGCGAAGGCGGCAUCAUGGACCGGUAUUGACGCUGAGGCGCGAAAGCCAGGGGAGCAAACGGG
rnacentral:rRNA from 1 species